GUCCAGCGUCUGGUCUCUCAAACUAAAUGUUCUUUUGUUGAUGAUUUCACACGUAGAUAAUAAUGUCAUGUUCAGUCUACAUUCCUACAUAUUACAUCUUUAUUGUUAAGAUAUCGAUAACUGGGGGAAAAAAUGAACAAGUGCUUUUAUUAAAUGAUUAUAAGAAAUCAA